rnacentral:rRNA from 1 species
UGAGKGAUGAAGACUUUUGGNUUGUAAACCUCUUUUCUCUGGGAAGAAGAUCUGACGGUACCAGAGGAAUMAGCCUCGGCUAACUCCGUGCCAGCMGCCGCGGUAAUACGGAGGAGGCGACCGUUAUCCGGAAUUAUUGGGCGUAWWGCGUCCGCAUGCGGUUUAUYAAGUCUGCUGUCRMMGACUACAGCUUAACUGUGGGAAGGCAGUGGACUCUGAUGAACUAGAGAGCGGUAGGGGUAGAGGGAAUUCCUSGUGUAGCGGUGAAAUGCUUACAUUUUUGGAAGAACACCMGUGGCGAAGGCGCUCUACUGGGCCGUGACUGACGCUGAUGGACGAAAGCUAGGGGAGCGAAAGGGAUUAGAUUCCCCUGUAGUCCUAGCUGUAAACCAUGGAUACUACGUGUCGGGCGUAUCGACCCGUCYWGUACCGUAGCUAACGCGUUWAGUAUCCCGCCUGGGGAGUACGCUCGCAAGUUUGAAACUCAAAGGAAUUGA